GUGUCAGCAGCCGCGGUAAUACGAAGGGGGCUAGCGUUGCUCGGAAUGACUGGGCGUAAAGGGCGCGUAGGCGGUUUGGUCAGUUAGACGUGAAAUUCCUGGGCUCAACCUGGGGACUGCGUUUAAUACGGCCGAGCUUGAGUAUGGAAGAGGGUCGUGGAAUUCCCAGUGUAGAGGUGAAAUUCGUAGAUAUUGGGAAGAACACCGGUGGCGAAGGCGGCGACCUGGUCCAUUACUGACGCUGAGGCGCGAAAGCGUGGGGAGCAAACAGGAUUAGAUACCCUGGUAGUCCACGCCGUAAACGAUGUGUGCUGGAUGUUGGGUGACCUAGUCACUCAGUGUCGUAGCUAACGCGGUAAGCACACCGCCUGGGGAGUACGGCCGCAAGGUUGAA
rnacentral:rRNA from 1 species